GGUGCUGAGGGUGACCUGGCAUGGCUGAGGACACUGAGGGAUGUCCUGGAAUGGCGGGGACACUGAGGGAUGUUCUGGCAUGGCCGGGGACACUGAGGGAUGUCCUGACAUGGCAGGAUACUGAGGGGUGUCCUGGCACCUGGCAUGGCAGGGACACUGAGGGGUGUCCUGGCACCUGGCAUGGCAGGGACACUGAGGGGUGACAUGGCAUGGUAGGGGCACUGAGGGGUGAUCUGGCAUGGCAGGGACACUGAGGGGUGACCUGGCAUGGCCAGAGACACUGAGGGAUGUUCUGGCAUGGCGGGGGCUCUGAGGGGUGACAUGGCAUGGUGGGCCCUCUGAGGGGUGUCCUGGCACCUAGCAUGCUGGGGACACUGAGCGGUGACCUGGCAUGUUGGGGACACUGAGGGGUGACAUGGCAUGGCGGGCGGUCUGAGGGUUGUCCUGGCAUAGCGGGGACACUGAGGAGUGUUUUGUGGUCAGGGGAUCAUCAGAGCUGGAAGAGAUCCUCCGUAUUUUCCAGCCCUGCCACUAUAAUUCUGACCCCACGACACCGCAGCACCCCAAGCCACAGCCCGGUGCUUCUGAGCAUCUCCAUUGUGGCUGGCCUCUCUUGGCAGCCCGUGCCAAUGCCUGCCUGCCCAUGUGGCAAAUGAGAAAUACCUAGAAGUUUCUGAAGAAGGGGUGUUCUUUAAUCAUGGAAUCAUAACAUAUCCUGAGUUGGAAGGGAGCCACAAAGGGUUCCGUCCCCACCGUGCACAGCACAGAGUGCAGCCCCAGGUGCCAGUGUGUGGACAUCAGUGGGGACAGGCUGGCACUGGAAUGGAAAGGAUUUAGGUGGUGGAGCAGUGCAGACCCACAGCUCCCAGGUCAGGACUGUCACAGAGACCUCCUGCAGCAUGUCCAGCUGAUGUCAAGCUCGCAACCUGCCUGGGAUGGAGGAAAAUGGGAAGUAGAACAUUGGCUGUGCAUAAGUGAUUGCUUCAAGCUCAUUGCCCUCAAAGGAGUCUCAGGAAAAAGCUGUUGGUGAAGCUUUGAAGCUCUGGAACACACACACACACAUACACUGCCAAGAACUUUGCUUUCUUGCGCAUAAUCAUAUUAGCUUGGCUGAUAACAAGUUGAAAAAAACUAUCCCAGGGAAGAAAGGUCAAUGUUUAACCUGGAUGUAAAGCUUGUUCUCAUCCAAUUAAAACCCAGUGCAAUUGCUUCUGGUGUCAACAAUGGGAUCUUUGCACAGUCAAACACAGCAGUUUGGUACACAGGAUUUACACACUGGAGUAUGUGUUAUACCACCAUGAUAGUGCUUGAAAUAGAAUGGAAUCUUUUUAGUUUAUUUCAGUAGAGAGUUAAUGCUGGCAUACCGUUGUGACGUUUUGAGUUGUGACAUCUUUGAGAGGUUUGUGAAAGGGAAACAACUUCACAUCACUUUCCCCCUGAAAACUUGUAUUUGAGUGGAGGGAGGGCUGAAUUUCCUGAUAUUUUGUAGUUCUGCCUAGGGUUUUAUGGUGUGCCUAAUGGGAAAUGUUACCUUAGUCUUAAGAUCUACAUACAAAACCAGCAAUCAGCUUUAUGUGUAAUAGACAGUGUACAAAUGUGCAGCAGUGCCAUCUGUUUGAAAUCCAAAAAUAAACAGGGGUGUGUGGAUUCUCUAAAGCCCCUAUUCUUCUGUAAGUCCUUCCACCAGCUCUGAGAACAUUUCCUCCUAAAAAAGCUGGGUUUAUUCCAAAGACAUUGCAGAUGGCCUGUGACUUUGAGUUUAUUUUACAUUAAUGUUUGAUGAAAAAACAGAUUGUCCUUAACCUAGGUGUCUAAGAGGACCCUGGUCACUGGCUUUCCUCACUGGGAAUGUAUAUGGGAUAUAGGCUAUAUGGAGGAUAUGGUCUGUUCUGGAUCGGCUGGACUGGAUUCUUCUUCCUGAAAACUCUCUGUAAGGAAUGGCCCAUUGUUGAGGAUUUUUGCAGGACAAUGGACACAGUCAGCAAAUGCACAAUCCAGCCUUCUGAUAACAAACUCACCUGUUCAAGAAACGGGGUCAGUGAAUCCUUGACCACAGGGAAAGAAGUCAGAAGAGUCAGCAAAAGUUGUCAGCGAAAUUUAAGAAAUAAAAAAAGAGAACUCAGAGUGGGCCAGAGGACCAAAGCAAGACAUACGAAGAAUCGGGUGAUCCAAUCAGCAUUUAAUUUUAGAUGCAUGGGCAGUUAGGAUUAUCCAAUCAGGUAUUAGCUAGAGACUCGUGCGCAGCAGAACGUAUUAUCAAUAUCGGCUUCUGUACAAUAAAACUGGCUUCACUUGAUCAUAUUG